GAGGGGGGUGCUGCUGUACAGCAGGGGUGGGAUGCUGGCACAGGCAGCGCUGUAUCCCUAUAUCUCAGCUAUUGUCAAAAACUGCUGUGCACAGCAGGCCUGCGGCGGCGAGGGCAGAGCAGCUGCUUUCAGCUCAAUUAGAGGCAGAAUUGGCUCCCAGCAGAAUAAGCAGCGCACCCGCAGCUCCCAGCUGUCCCUCUCCUCCUAAACGGAGCUCAGAGCACGGAGGUAAAUAGGGGUUGGGGUUCUGCAAAACCCACGAGCGAGCUGCAAAAAGGGCAGCUUGGAAAAGUUCACAGAUCCGACCACUGGGGGCUGCUCUGGUUAUACAUAAAUCACCACCGCGCGCAUUGUCAAACAUGGAAAACUCAACCCAAGGAAAUAAAGGGCAGGGGUUAGAGAGUUUCUGAGCUGCUCUUUCCUGCCUUCAUACUCCACAUGCAUGCAAAUGCACCGUAGACUUCACAGCUCUAUUUUAAAGAUCAGAGAUCAAUCACUUCACGCAGUAAAUGCUGCAUGCCCAAAAGCCACCUGGAAGGCACAGGAGCCAGAGUUUAUUACACUCAAUCACAAACAGAACGUAUGAAUUUCAUCCAACAUGCACUGCUAAGCAGACCCACUGAGGAAGAGGGAGAGAGUGCAGAGGGAGCUGCAGAAUACCAGCAGAAAAUUAAGCCUCCUCUUAGCUGGCAGUCAUGGCAAGAAGGCGACACUGUGGAGAGGGGCAAUGCAGGUGAGAGCAGUGUUGCAGCAACAUACUGAGAGGGAUCUGACAAAUGGGGUUUGCUUAGCACUGAGCAGCCCAGGAGGAGCUGUGUGCUCAGGUGGGAUCAGUGAACACCCGGUGGGGGAGGGAAUUCCUUUGCACUGCUCUCUGGCUGUGCUGUGGGGUGUGCUGCCCCCCUCAGCAGCAAGUCUGCAGCCACGGGAUGCAGGAAAGCCGUGCUGUGCUGCCCUUCAGCUGCUGAGCCCUACAGCAGCUCUCUGCAGCGAUGCCCACGGCUCAGGGAAGCUGCAGCGUUCCUCUCCUGUGCCCUCAGCCAUGCACCCACACGGCCUUUGCCUGCCCAGCACCAGAAGCCUGUGGGGUGACACUCAAAAAGCAUCACAGAACAUCGGUCUCCAAGAGGCUCCUGAGGCUGUGCAGCCAUCCCAGCGUGGUAUCAACUCCAUCGAAGCGGUGAGCAGAGAGGCUGAGGCACAGCCCCAACCCUACGGAGCCGGUGGGAGGUUUGCUGUUGACCUGGGACUCGUUGGGUUUAAACGCUCAGAGGGAUGUCAGGUGGAAGAGAACUUCGCACGCCUCCCCUGGAAGGAAGGGCGGCUGAGACGCAACGAUCCCCAUUAGCAAAGCUCCGCUCUCCGUGCUUUUUAAAGGCUAAUCCUUCCAGACGGAGCUCACAUCCAUCUCGCAUAGCAAAGCGCUCUGCAGGGCAGCGCCGAUCAGCACUGGAGGCAGCGGGUGGGAGGGCGGUGUGGGAUGCGCCGCGACAGCCCCGUGUGAUGCUCACCCAGAUGUGUGCCGCUCCCCAUGGCAGCCGCUGGGGCCUCCAGGAGCUCAGGUGCUGCUCUUCCAAAUCCAAAAUCCUUCAAGAAAUCUGAUUGAGAGAGAGAGAGAGAGAAAAAAAAAGGAAUGAUAUCAGCGCCGGGGUGCAAAUUGAGGGCAGGGCCCUGGCAAAUUCACUCUGACUUGCAGGGAGGCCGGGACCUCGCGGUGAUUAUUUCUCUUCUCCAGCGUUCUCAGACUCAGAUCUGAUCACUGUGAGCACAGACACGGAGCUCUGUCUGUCUGAGACCCAUCGCUGCUGCUAUCAGUGGGGUUCUGUUCUCUACACACCCCAACCCCCUGCAGUGAUUGUGAAGAGCAGCUUAGGGCUCAAAUACGAAGUCGUUGAGUUGGGUGCCUAAUUCCUUUCAAUCUGCUUUUUAUUUCCUGGCCUCGGGGCUCUGAGGAAGCAGCUGGUUUGAUUUGAUGAAGAAAAGAGCUGUUCCAUUAACGGGUCUGAUGGCUGAGAGGGUGCUUUCAGCUGGGGAUGGAUCCCAGCACCCUUCACCAGGCCACACUUGCUGCUGGAUCAUAUUUUCCCUUCAAUGACAUUACAUCUUAAACGGGCUUUCACUGUAAUAACAUUUGCAGUAAUGAAAUCACUCUGCGGCACAGUCUUCUUUUAACAGCACAAAUACCUGAGUUGGCUACAAAGGGAGAUUUAAAUGUCACAGAGGAUGUGCUGGAUGUGUCCAUCAGAAGAUAAGGCUUCUCUUUGUCGAUGAAUGGAGACACAACGGUGGCUGCGGGGUGUUCGGGGCACAAAGGCAGCUCCUUCAAUAGGGAGAGAGGCAGCUCAGAGGAGAGGCAGAUAAUACAGAGAGCUUUCAAAUCUCACGCUGGCUAUAGGGC
ensembl:lncRNA